rnacentral:rRNA from 1 species
CGCCUUUUGACAAACAUAAAAGGUCUAGCCUGCCCAGUGACAAAGUUAAACGGCCGCGGUACCCUAACCGUGCAAAGGUAGCACAAUCACUUGUUCUCUAAAUAAGGACUAGUAUGAACGGCAUCACGAGGAUUAUGCUGUCUCCCCCCUUUAAUCAGUGAAACUGAUCCCCCCGUGAAGAAGCGGGAAUAAACUUACAAGACGAGAAGACCCUGUGGAGCUUCAAACUAACACCACCCACCUUAAAAUACACCAUAACAAACAGAUGGACCUGCGUACUAGUUUUAGGUUGGGGCGACCGCGGAGUAAAACUAAACCUCCAUGAUGAAAGACUUUACUUUCUAAUCCUAGAGCAACACCUCAAAGAAUCAACAAACUGACAUAUUGACCCAAUAAAUUGAUCAACGAACCAAGUUACCCCAGGGAUAACAGCGCAAUCCACUUCGAGAGCUCAUAUCGACAA